UAAACAAAUUAAUGCUAAAUAAAAAGUUGGGAGCUUUUUUAAAAUAUUUCUUU
rnacentral:tRNA from 1 species